rnacentral:rRNA from 1 species
GACGACGCUGGCGGCGUGGAUUAGGCAUGCAAGUCGAACGGUAGAGUUCCUUCGGGAGCUUGAGAGUGGCGAACGGGUGAGUAACGCGUAGGUUAUCUACCCUCAAAUUGGGGACAACCCAGGGAAACUUGGGCUAAUACCGAAUGAGAGCAUCUGUAAUGGAUGUUUAAAAGAUGGCAGUAAUGCUGUUGUUUGAGGAUGAGCCUGCGUCCCAUUAGUUAGUUGGUAAGGUAAUGGCUUACCAAGGCGAUGAUAGGUAGGCGGCCUUAACGGGUGGUCGCCCACACUGGGAUUGAGAUACGGCCCAGACUCCUACGGGAGGCAGCAGUCGAGAAUAGUCUACAAUGGCCGAAAGGCUGAUAGUGCGACGCCGCGUGAACGAAGAAGCCCUUCGGGGUGUAAAGUUCUUUUAUAUGUGAGCAGUGCUUUCUAUGUGAACAGCAUGGGGAGAGAGAUAUUAGCAUAUGAAUAAGCAACGGCUAACUCCGUG